AGCCCGACAAACACCGGUUGCCAAGGCAACGAGCUCUGCCGGACAAAGCCUGGGGAGGCCGGGGGAGACCAAAGGGGCCUUUAGGAACCCUGCUUAUAGGCAUCAGAGGAAUGCAGAGACAGUGUUAAUCUGACCGAAAGUAGAUCACACCGAAACAAGUUCAAAUGAAAACACUCACCUUUAAAUCUCCCGAGAAAGAUACUCUGACAUUAUUAUCGUGUUUUUAGAAAACUCAGCCAGAGCCAUAUGCUGACCAAUCAAGGAGUGAUUAUAUCCAGACUGCUUUCUCCUGCUAAAAGCCCCCAUAGUACAUUCACCAUCCUUUGGGCCCAUUUUGAGUUGCUUCUAAAGGCAGCAGUGAAUGUGGAAGAUUUUGAAUGGCACUAGUGAAAGUAGGAGAUUUUGGAUGGCCCAUUUAAGAUAAAACAUCUAAUUAGGAUUCUUAUCUGUUUUGUAAAAACUGAACAAUGAAAGAAGUUAUCUCACCAGUAAAGAGUAGUUUUUGGCUUUGAGAGAUGUUUGCUUUUGCUUCUGUUUCCUUAAAUUCUUUUAACUUACACUGCCACU